GCCCCUUCUCCCCGCCCCUCUCCCGCAACUUUCUGGGUGCUCCUCCGGCACCCAUGGCAACGCGCAUGAGCCUUCCCCCACCGCCGGGCCGGGGGGAAGGAAUUAACUGGCGAAAUUAAUCCUUUCCCCUAAACGGUGCAGGAAUGACCCGCUCUCAGUGUCGCGCCUGGCGUCCCUGCGCGGAGGGGAGCGGGCAGCGGCAAGUGCCGAGGUGCGGACCGUGGCCAGGUCCCUCCUGAGGAGCUGGAGCGGACAGGAACGCGAGCAGCGCCCCGGGGCUGGCGGGGAGCACUGAUUGCUCGGGGCUCUUCCACCUGUCUCUAGGAGAUGCGUUUCAAGAUGGGCUUCCAUGGGGAGAAUGGUGCUUCUGCGCGCAACGAACGAGUGGUGUUCAAGAAAGAAGCAAUGUUUCAGAGGUGUUACCAUGGAAACAAUGGAGUGAGGAAGCAGCUAAACAUAAAAUUCCUCCAAAGUCAUUCUCCUUGAAACAGUGAUCCACAAGGAGAUGGAAGCGUUACUGGUGGAGCUUCCAACUCAGAGACCUCUGUUCAGGCUGUUGGAAAAGCCUCAACCAGAAAUCAUUGCAACAGAAUCCAAAAUGCUGAACAUCUUUUCCUUGCCUUGAUAAAAUAUCUGUCUAGAAUGAAUACUCAUGAUUUCUCUGUUGAACUCAGCCUGCUCUCUGUGACACUGCCUCUCAGCACCCUGUUGUACCUGGGCCUGCCUACUCACCAGCUGCCUAAGAGUCACCUUUUGCUGAAUUGCUUCACACCUUUUACUUUUGAAGAAGGAUGCAAGAUCCCCAGUGCUGUUUUCAUGUUGCCUAAGCCAAAAGGUGUAUCCAGAGGAAGUUGUGGGUGGCAAAGGAGGACCAUGAAUGACAUGUAAUUUGGCAUCCAGAUAUGCUCAGUUUCACCUGUCACAUCAAUUUUUAGAAAUUCUUCCUGUGGGUCCUUCCUUUAAUCCCAAAGGUCUCAGGGGAAGGAUCCCUUUAAUACACUCUAGCUCAAGCUAUUUGAUUUCAGAAAAGAAUUGCACCAAGAAAUUGUUCUAAUACAUUACAUUAGCUAGAGCAAAGACACUCAGUAUUAAAUUUGAGUGACAAGGUCAUCCUCUGCCUUACAGUCUGUAACCAGAAAAGAUCACAGAAUCACAGAGUGAUUGAGGUUGGAAGGGACCCCUGGAGGUCCUCUAGUCCAACCCUCUGCUCAAGCAAGGUCACCUAGAGCAAGUUCCUGAGGACUGUAUCCAGACAACUCUUGAAUAUCUCCAAGGAGGGAGACUGCAUGGUAUCUCUGGGCAACCUGUGCCAGUGCUCAGUCAUCCUCAUAUGGAAAAGUGUCUUCUGACGUUCAGAGGGAACCUUCUGUGUUUCAGUUUGUGCCCAUCUGCCUCUGUGGACUGGACACAGUGCUCCAGGUAUGGCCUCACCAGUGCUGAGCAGAGGACCAGGGUCAACUUCCUCAACCUGCUGGUAAGGCUUUGCCUAAUGGGUCCCAGGAUAUCAUUAGCCCUUCUUUCCAAGGGCACAUUGCUGACUCCUGUUCAACUUAGCAUCCAUCAGGAUGCCGAGGUCCUUUUCUUACAAGUUGCUUUCCAUCUGGGGGGUCCCCAGUAUACACUGGUUCCUUCUCAGGUGCAGGACUUUGCUCUUCUUGUUGAACUUGAUGAUGUUCCUGUCAGCCUAUUUUUCCAGCUUGUCAAGGGCCCUUUGGAUGACAGCAUAACCCUCUGUUAUAUCAGCCACUCUUCCCAGUUUGCUGAGGGUACACUGUGCCCUACCAUCUAUUAAUAAAAAAGUCAAAUGGGAAUGGAUGAAUGCUGCUUUCCAUCUUGAGGCUAAUGCUAAUGCCAGUGCCAGCCAUUGCCUUCUUCCCUGGCAUUCCAGAUCAGUGGUGCAAUUUGAAAAGUAAAUUAACUCGUUAACACCAGGAGCUUGGAUAUAACUGGAGCUUUAUGUUUUAAAGAAUAGAGAGGAAUUCCAGAAAUGUAGCCCUGGUAUGUGAAAGCCCUAGGAAGUAAAUGGCCUGAGCACAUGCAUCAACUUACUGCUUCAUUUUGGACUGGGCAGUGGUAAGUGAAAAAAGUAAGAAACUGAAAUGUUCCACACUGGAUACCAAGAGCUGAGUAAGUUCUGCUUGGAAGUGAAUAAAAUUCUGCUUCCCUGCUGUUUACACUCAGCUCCAGGAAAGUCUCCAAGGUGUAAUUAUUCAGGCCUUUCUCAUGUGAGCUGAACAGACUAAAGCUGCUCAAGCUCCCAGAGUGGGAAAAGUAGGCACAUACCCACAACACAAUGAGACAGGACAGGGACUGGAUGGGGCAGGGACCAAGGGAGGCUGAGACAUGAAGCACAGAGCAGUGCCAGCAGGCACGGGCUCAUAGCACAGAGGUCUGGCUACAACCCCUUCAUUUAUUCAAAGCAAUUACUUUGCUGCUUAUUAA